CAGUAGCCGCGGUAAUACGGAGGGAGCUAGCGUUGUUCGGAAUUACUGGGCGUAAAGCGCACGUAGGCGGCUUUGUAAGUUAGAGGUGAAAGCCUGGAGCUCAACUCCAGAAUUGCCUUUAAGACUGCAUCGCUUGAAUCCAGGAGAGGUGAGUGGAAUUCCGAGUGUAGAGGUGAAAUUCGUAGAUAUUCGGAAGAACACCAGUGGCGAAGGCGGCUCACUGGACUGGUAUUGACGCUGAGGUGCGAAAGCGUGGGGAGCAAACAGGAUUAGAUACCCCCGUAGUCCCUGUCUCUUAUAC
rnacentral:rRNA from 1 species